AAUGAAGUGCCUGAUAAAAAGGAGUAUUUUGAUAGAAUACAAAAAGUGCAAUCAUGCACCUUCAUUG
rnacentral:tRNA from 1 species